CCUCCUUAUCAGCAGUGAGAGUUGAUAGUCUUCUACUCGUGUUCUGAAACCUUCUCUGCAAAUUGAUUAGAAAUAAGACGUACCCAAUUAACAAGAUUAUGUGCAUUGAAAGAAAAGCUAUCCUUUUGAUGAUUUAUGGGAAAUGAGUGUGUGUGUGUAUGGGGAGUACAACGAAAACAAGAAGAAACUAAUCUCCGCAUGAGAUUUUGGAUGUGCAGAAAUCCAUGUUGGAACUUGCUUGAGCCAGCCAAAAAUCAUAUUUAAAGAGAAGAAUCCUGGAGAUAUCAUUGCCUCAGCCUAAAGAAAAGAAUCAACAAAAUAAUGCUCUUGAAGCAGAAGGUGCCAAUGGUGAAACCAGGAGGCAGAGAGUUUCAAAAUCAUAUGUGUGUCACUCUCAUGAAAACAAAAACCAGCUGCAACCACAGAGCUCAGUCAUUUUAAUAAUAUGACUUUAUUAUUCCAAGAAAUUCUUGCCUAGGAAGAUUAAAUU
rnacentral:lncRNA from 1 species